GUGCUCCUGUCCUUGAGGCACUCCAUUGCUUCCCUUUACCCCCACAGUUUAUGGAGAGAUAAGAUGAGCAAACACCAAAGGAAAAGCGCCUUGGGAGACACUGCAUUCUUCUCCUUGCACAACUUGUCUAAGUCAUGCAUUUCUUUCCUCCCACCUUCUGCAUUCUGCCCUGGUGCUGACGGUCCUUCCAAAAGGAAGAAAUCUUCCCAGGUAUUGGCUGUGUCCUAAAUAGCUGAGAACUGAAACUAUCUAAGUGAAAGGCUUAGUAGACAUUAAUCAAACCAAAAAGAGACAGAUAAUUAUGAUAUACAAAGAGAAGGAUUUAAAAAUAGUGUAUGAAAGAAAACAGAGUCUUGCUCUAUGUGUAAGUUUUAAUCUUCACACUAAGACAUCUACUAAUUGCACCAUCAUGUACCAACAGUGACCUGACUUUGAGUCUUAUUCUGGCCAUUCAAUAUAGAGGAGUGAGUGAACCUCUGAAUAAACUAGGGGUAGGGGAAUGAAAAAAAUUAUAAAUAGAUAACCUGUGGGUGGGAAAAACAGUGAUUGGAACAAUGGAAAUAUUGAUUGGGAACAGCAGAGAGUCACUAAAGUACAGGCACAUACUUAUAU
rnacentral:lncRNA from 1 species